rnacentral:rRNA from 1 species
CCCUUAGACGUUCUGGGCCGCACGCGCGCUACACUGACCAGUGCAACAAGCAUCCGUCCUUGGCCGACAGGCUCGGGCAAUCUUUGAACGCUGGUCGUGAUGGGGAUAGACUUUUGCAAUUUUUGGUCUUCAACGAGGAAUUCCUAGUAAACGCAAGUCAUCAACUUGCAUUGAUUACGUCCCUGCCCUUUGUACACACCGCCCGUCGCACCUACCGAUUGAAUGGUCCGGUGAAGCCUCCGGAUUGGCGCGCACCUCGGUGCCGCCGAGAGGUUGGCUAAACCUUACCAUUUAGAGGAAGGUGAANUCGUAACA